rnacentral:snRNA from 11 species
ACACUCGCCUGGAGGGACUGUAAGGCGGAUUCCCAGGGUGAAGCUCAUCCGUUGCCCUCCGAUGUGCUGACCCUGAGAUUUCCCCAAAUGUGGGAAACUUAACUGCAAAAUUUGUAGUAGUGGGCAGCUACAUUCACACUCUCCUA